UACGGAGGGUGCAAGCGUUAUCCGGAUUCACUGGGUUUAAAGGGUGUGUAGGCGGAUAUUUAAGUCAGUGGUGAAAUCUCCGGGCUCAACCCGGAAACUGCCAUUGAUACUAUUUAUCUUGAAUUCUGUUGAGGUGGGCGGAAUACAUCAUGUAGCGGUGAAAUGCUUAGAUAUGAUGUAGAACACCGAUUGCGAAGGCAGCUCACUAACCAGACAUUGACGCUGAGGCACGAAAGCGUGGGGAUCAAACAGG
rnacentral:rRNA from 1 species